CCCUUAGAUGUUCUGGGCUGCACGCGCGCUACACUGAUGUGUUCAUCGGGUUCGACCUUGCCCGGGAGGGUUGGGUAAUCCUUUCAAAACACAUCGUGAUGGGGAUAGAUUAUUGCAAUUAUUAAUCUUCAACGAGGAAUUCCUAGUAAGCGCGAGUCAUCAGCUCGUGCUGAUUACGUCCCUGCCCUUUGUACACACCGCCCGUCGCUACUACCGAUUGAAUGAUUUAGUGAGGACUUCGGACUGGGACCGAUGCGGCUUUCGGGCUGCGUCGGUAUUCUGGAAAGAUGUCCAAACUGUAUCAUUUAGAGGAAGUAAAAGUCGUAACA
rnacentral:rRNA from 1 species